AUUUAGAAAAAAAUCUCGUUAAUGAAUUUGUCUUUUGUUUUAGUUUUAUUUAGCAGUUAAUUAUAUCUAAAUCAUUGUCAUUUCAUUAGAUAAGGAUGAGUAAUAAAUCAUCUCGUGAUCGACAAGCUACAACAUGAUUUAUUUUUAGAGUUGACAUUACCAUUGAUGGGUAAAUUGUGAAGGGUGUUUGGAAGAUUUGAUAAUGGCUAUUAACUUGUACAAGAUUAGAGACAAUUUUGCUUUAGGUUGGUCUUAUUGGAUUAGUGGUAAUGUUUAAGUUGACCUUCUGAUUAGAAAGGAUUGGGUUAGUCUUUUGGUAAUAAGCAAAAGGUUAGAUUGACUGGCUUUAAAGAAAACAAGAGAUCAUUUAAUUAAUAUUUUCUUUCAUAUCUUUUGAUUGUAGAUAAUCAUAAUUUGGGCUCAAAAAUGAUUGAGUUGCGUUUUUUGGUAAUAAUAAUCAAAUACAUGGCAAACUUGGAUGUUCAAAAUGAAAGGUUGAAGGUAAUUUCAAGGAGAAGUGUUUGAUUAAACGUUGGUUAUUCAAGGAGAUUAUUCAAUGCUUAAGAAAGGACCAGUGUCAGAGAAUUGGCUUCAAUGGUUGCUUUAUUUUCUCCCCCAUCUUUGAAAUAAUCCUAUCCGUUGGCAUCGACAAUUAGUUCCCCAGAGAUUACAUUUACACAAUGAAUUACCACAACAACCGUCUGGCUUGAGGUCACAAAUGGCCCCUCGUUUUAUACAACUGCGUCUAUAAUAAAGAAAAGAAAGUCGUCAGAUGAAAAAUAAUUUAAACAUCAGAUGGGUUCCAAGGAAAGACGAUAAUUGGAUCAAGACAAGACUUACUUUUUUGCAAGAAACAGUUUAGCUAAAUUGUCACCAACACCCUCCAACAUUUCUGAUGCCAUAUGACGAUCUGUUGAGUCAGCGAGAAAAGAGAAAUGUGAAAAAAGAUCAAUAUCGACAUUUGAUUUGGAACCACAAAAAGUGUAUAAUCGAUCCAAUAUAUCCUGUGAUUAACAACUCAAUUUUAAACCCUUCAUUCGGUUGGAUUGAUCAUUGAAUUGGUUCUCAAGUAUGGUCAAGUGUAAUGCCCAAUAACAAUAUACCAAUACAAGUCUUAAUGUCAUCAACUUUUAUGGUUACAUUGAUAAUUAUGGGCCUAUUGCUUUACCAUUUGAUUGCCACUCCAUAAACAUUGUAAACUUGAUAAAGGGACUCAUGAGAAAUGAAAAAACAGUCAAUGGAUCCAAUAGUUACAGCUUAAGUUCAUCUUUGGAACAACAAUCUAUUUUCCAUUUCGAUAAUCACACAAACCAUCAUCUCCGUGAUUAAUGCGAUCAAUUUUAAAGGUUAACCUCGUCAAAUUGGAUUCAAAACCAUUGACAAAUUACACGAUUAUCAUUUUCAAUUUUACCAGAUUCCUGUUUUAAAUGAAUCAGUUUAGUAUUGAUCUACUAAAUAUAGCUAAACAUAAUAAUGUUUAUAAUAACAAUCCAAUCUUUUAACAAUACUGGAUGGCAUAAAAUAAAAUCUAAACAAGAUGGAAACCAAAGAUGGUAAAGUUAUCCCUUAAGUAAUGAGGAAGAAAUUAAAAACCAGGAAAAUCAAACAAAGAUUGUCCAAGGAAUGUCAAUUGAAUCAUCGACUGGUCCAUCCAUACAUUUAAUUGGUUUAUCAUGUUGAAGCUCAUGGAAUCAGUUAAAUUGCGGUCAAUAAAGUCUUAAAAGUCAUUGAUGUCAACGAUUUGAUGGAUAUCAUUGAUCACCCACAAGUCAAUGCCAAUCCACUUAUAACAGCAAAUAACACCAAUGGACAACAACUACAUGUAUCAACUUUAAUGUCACCAGGAAUUUCAUUAACAUUUAAUCAACUAUAAUUGACUUGGAUGAAUUUUUUAUUACAAUGGAAGCCCGUUAACCAAGCAAAGUCUUUAAAAAUGUGCAACCAGUCAAUCAAACCAGCAUUUGUCAAAAUCUACUUAAUAUAUUAAAUUAAGUAUUGAUGAGACUAAUUGCCGAGUUAAAAGCCACUGGAUCGAGCCUCGCAAAUUGAAAGGUGUUGAUCAAUACAGAGUCGAUAAAGUAAACAAUUAACCGAACAGUUUUAUUUCACAAGUUGAGAUAUUCAAGAGUCUUCAUCUUAAGUCUAUUGAUUGUGAUUAUUAUGAUUAGCUGACAUAGCAAAUGACGUUUUCCUCUUGAAUAAACUCAAGAGUUUCACAUGGAAACUCUAAAAAAGGUUAAUUUGUUAUUGAUUGGAUGCAAAUGAGUUCAAUUAAACAGAUAAAAAUGAAAGAAAUUAAAAUAAUUACAAUUUACUAGUUA